AGUUUUCUACCAUUGAGGAUAUUUCUACCAUUGAGAAUAUUACGGAUUUUUAAAGGCUUCCCAAAAGCAGAAGUCCACGAUGGUUUGAGUAACGGCAGCCUUCACACAUGGGUGUGGCUUAAGGUGAUUAGUUUGAAGAACCGCAUUCAUUUGGGCACAUAUGUUCCAGCAUGCGUGUGAAAAUGAUCAGUCUCCUUUUAUAAUCUCAGUUGAUACGUUUAUUCCACAUUUUUGAGGCUAAAACACGAUACCAGGUAUGUUCUUUUCGAACCUAAAUGCUUUAUUUUUCUUCAAACCAGAAACCUGAAAUUCUGAGGGCUUUCAGUAUUAACAAUUGUGCUACAGGAGAUACUGUCGUGGCAACUUAUUUGAGAAAUUCCUCACCAUAUCUCAGGAAGUUUCUUUCCAUUGAAGUUACUUCUCCUCCUUCCUUAAAAAUGAUCGAAUAAUUACCCAAAAAGAGGAAGGG